rnacentral:lncRNA from 1 species
CCACCCGCUCACAAACACCCUUUCUGUUUCGAUAGCACGCCGCCGGAAGUCAAGUCGCAUCGCCGCCGGAGCCGCGAAAUGUUGCCGGAAAGCAUAAACUAGAUCACGUCAUCUCGUUCUCGUUUAUGUAUGAUACGAACACGUCGGGACUCGGGACUUACCAGAUUUAAGAACCUUCGCUCGGAACCCUCGCCGUAACUCGAGUCGGAAAACUGAAGACGUUGUCG